CCUCCCUUCAGCGGCGCCAUUGGCUCUGCUCCCCGCUUUCUCCCACACUGCGCGGCGCGUCAUUGAACGGAGCCCAAGAUGGCGGCGCUCGGUGCGAGCGAAGUGAUUGGCCGGCUGGAGAGCGCUGCCAAAGUUGUAAUGGGGCAAGCAGGAGAGUGAGCUAUGGAGUUCCAUGGACAACAAACGAGGCACAAAGAAGGUCCAGCCAAUGGCAGCCGGGAUCCCAAGCCAAUCAGUCGAAGCAGCUCAUUGUUUCUGAAUCUGAGGUCGCCCCUACCCCGAUGCUCACAUGGUUGAGAGUAUGACGUUACUCUGUAAUGGCUGUGGGAAUGGCACAAUAGCUAAUUCUCAAGCUAUAGAUAAUGGCGACACAAAACUUUAGCUGAUGGCACCGGCCAUGGUGGCGAAUCCAGCACCAACAACAAGAUCUGCAGGACGAUAAAGCUUGUCUACUUUUUUCAACACCUUUAAACAACGGACCAACCUGAAUAAUGACGUCCCCGUUCCAUGAUGGCUGUGGGCAACUCGUCAGCCUUGGAAUCCAGCGUGCCUAUGGAUCUGCCCAUAUUAAUUAACCCAGUACAGACAAAACCUAUACAUCGCAGAGCCCCCUCAGGCCCUUGUCAUGAGUUGGCCAGGAGCCCAGUAACUGUGAAAUCAUAGUGAGAGACUUAUAAGGCAGUCAGGUUAUUUACAAGAGGUUAUUUAACAGACAUAAAGUGCAAGAGCAAGAAAAGAGGGGGAGUAGGUGCACAUCUCUGGCCCCUGAGGAAUCCCAUAGAAGUAGGCCCAACAGUCGCUUGCAUGAUGAUCCUGGGGGCAUACCUGGAUAACAGUUGACAAAAUAAGUAAAAUACUGACAAAAGAGGGUCACAUAGCAAUUCUACAUAUUUCACCCACUGUCAAAACAUUAAUGUCGGGCAAUGUUCCUGUAGUUCUCUUCUCAAAACAUUCUUGAUCAUUGUGUGCCAAUAACAGUUACUCAAUAAACUUGUACAGCAAAUGUGAA